GUAUUUCAAUGAAAUGGUUAAGGUACAGAUAAUCAUUGAGGCUUUUAUUUUGAGGCCCUUAUUGGGAAAAAGUGUAUUGUGGACUGUUUCUUUGAAGGUGUAGCAACACAAGCACUUUGGGACACUGGGUCACAGGUCACAAUUAUCAACGAAGAGUGGAGGAAGUCCUGUCUCCCACAGAUAGCGCUACGGAGCAUAAGUGAACUGCUGGGUGAGCAUGAGACGCUUGUCGGCAAAGCUGCUAAUCAAACACCUAUCCCUUUUGCUGGCUGGGUCGAGUUGACGUUCCAGCUGGCAUCGAGCAGGGGUCCACAGACAGAGUUACUCGUCCCAGUGCUGGUCUCUAACGAGCCAGGAGUAGCAGACCCACCGAUCAUUGGCUACAAUGUAAUCGAGCAUCUGGUGAUGAGUGGAAUGGAGUAGCAUCCGGAAACGACACCUACAGUGGUAAGAGAAGCUUUCUCCAUAGACUGUAAAAAAGCAGAUGUGUUGAUUCAUCUGGUGCAGGGCCGCGACCAGAAUGACCAGGAAGGGGUGGUGAAAGUCGGGAGGACAGUGAUCCCAGCAGGGUAGACCAGAGAGGUGAAGUGUAGUGUUAGGACAGGUCCCCUAUCCAUAAAACAGGAAGUACUUUUUGAACCGGAAGACAUCCCAAAGCGGCCAGAGGGGUUGAGCAUCACAGAAACUGUCAUCUGCCUGCAGAAAGGAAAUUUAUCCAGAAUAGCUAUCCCUGUCUCCAAUGAAAGCGACCAUGCCAUUACUCUCAACCCACAUAUAGUGCUGGGACAACUGCAACAGGUAAAAGCGACGUAUCCAGUGGAUAUAAGACCAGUUCAGGCCAAGGAUCCCACAGUCAGUACUGCCGGCAGUGAAACCAAAGCUAGUGCGAGUGAUCCUAAAGUCAGUACAGCUCGUAAUAGGAACACUGUCGAACAAGGUUUGUGGGACCCUCCAGUGCCGGUAGAUCACUUGACUGCAGACCAGCAGGAAAAUGUGAAACAAAUGCUAAGGGAAGAAUGUGCUACAUUUUAAAAAGACGAUAAUGAUGUUGGGUGCAUCUCAUCUCUGCAGUUGAAAAUCAGAUUGAGUGACACGACUCCUGUGAGACGGACCUACAUCUCUGUACCCAAGCCGCUUCACAAGGAGGUGAAAGAGUAUCUGGAGGACCUACUGAACAGAGAAUGGAUUAAGAAAUCCCGGUCCCCAUACUCCUCACCUCCUCACUCCUCGUCUGUGUGUGCAAGAAGGAUGGUAGUUUGCGUCUGUGCGUGGAAUACAGAGAGCUGAAUCAAAAAUCCAUUCCUGAUUGUCACCCUAUCCCCGAGUACAAGACCUGCUAAAUAGCCUCAGUGGGAGUGCAUGGUUCUCUGCGCUGGACCAGGGCAAGGCUUAUCAUCAGGGUUUCCUGGAGGAGAGAGGAAUGCCUGACAGGUCUCAGAGAUGAAACAUCGCAGACAUACUUGAAUGACAAUCUUGUCCACAGCAAAUCUUCAAGAUUUGAGAAAGGUGCUGCGCCGUUAUCAGGCACAUGGAGUUAAACUCACCGCUAAAAAGUGUGAAGUAUUUAAAGACAAAGUGAGACUCUUAGGGAAGAUAGUGUCAAAAGAUGGCUAUUGCAUGGUGUGCUGCCUUUUAGGCAUUAGGCUUUUAUUUUGUACAAGCUUUUAUUUUGAAAUGGUUUCAUGCCUUAGGAGUUCCGGGGGUUAGUUUCCUGUUUGUGGUUAGAGAAACAUGGUAGAAUUACCCAACGUGCUUUCGUCAUCCAUGGCAAUCCACAUCGUAAAUGCUGCAGAAGCAAUGUCCUGGUGACUUCUUCUAUUAAUUCAAGGACUGCCAUUUCUGUGGAUCUAGGAAGAAUAGUCAAGAUAUAGGAUCAUAAUCAAAUCAGAGAGUGGCCCUCUCACCACUCUCAAUGUCAGCUGCUGAACCUGAUGGACCGACUGGCUUGGCGUACUUCCCCGUCCCGAGAAGGAC